AGUGAACGCUGGCGGUAGGCCUAACACAUGCAAGUCGAACGGCAGCACAGUAAGAGCUUGCUCUUACGGGUGGCGAGUGGCGGACGGGUGAGGAAUACAUCGGAAUCUACUUUUUCGUGGGGGAUAACGUAGGGAAACUUACGCUAAUACCGCAUACGACCUACGGGUGAAAGCAGGGGAUCUUCGGACCUUGCGCGAUUGAAUGAGCCGAUGUCGGAUUAGCUAGUUGGCGGGGUAAAGGCCCACCAAGGCGACGAUCCGUAGCUGGUCUGAGAGGAUGAUCAGCCACACUGGAACUGAGACACGGUCCAGACUCCUACGGGAGGCAGCAGUGGGGAAUAUUGGACAAUGGGCGCAAGCCUGAUCCAGCCAUACCGCGUGGGUGAAGAAGGCAUUCGGGUUGUAAAGCCCUUUUGUUGGGAAAGAAAAGCAGCAGGUUAAUACCCCGCUGUCCUGACGGUACCCAAAGAAUAAGCACCGGCUAACUUCGU
rnacentral:rRNA from 1 species